GACGAACGCUGGCGGCGUGCCUAAUACAUGCAAGUAGGACGCAGUUGCGAACGGGUGAGUAACGCGUAGGUAACUACCUAUUAGAGGGGGAUAACUAUUGGAAACGAUAGCUCAUACCGCAUACUAGUAGAUGGACCUGCUUUGUAUUAGGUAGUAGGUAGGGUAAUGGGCUACCUAGGCAACGAUACAUAGGCGACCGAGGAGGGGGAUCGGCCAAACUGGGACUGGGACACGGGCCAGACUCCGACGGGAGGCAGCAGGAGGGAAGCUUCGGAAAUGGGGGGAACCCUGACCGAGCAACGCCGCGGGAGUGAAGAAGGUGUUCGGAGCGUAAAGCUCUGUUGUGAAGGAAGCGGUACUUAACCAGAAAGGGACGGCUAACUACGUGCCAGCAGCCGCGGUAAUAC
rnacentral:rRNA from 1 species